rnacentral:rRNA from 1 species
AUUGAACGCUGGCGGCAGGCCUAACACAUGCAAGUCGAGCGCGCGGCGGACGGGUGAGUAAUGUAUGGGGACUGCCCGAUAUAGGGGGAUAACUCCUGGAAAAGGUAGCUAAUACCGCAUACUAUCGGAUAACCCAUAUGGGAUUAGUUAGUUGGUGAGGUAAAGGCUCACCUAGGCGCCGAUCUCUAGCUGGUCUUAGAGGAUGUGCAGCCACACUGGGACUGAGACACGGCCCAGACUCCUACGGAGGCAGCAGUGGGGAAUAUUGCACAAUGGGCGCAAGCCUGAUGCAGCCAUGCCGCGUGUAUGAAGAAGGCCUUCGGGUUGUAAAGUACUUUCAGUAGGGAGGCGUUACCGACAGAAGAAGCACCGGCUAACUCCGUGCCAGCCGCCGCGGUAAUUC